GGGUUGUGAGGUUAAGCGACUAAGCGUACACGGUGGAUGCCCUGGCAGUCAGAGGCGAUGAAGGGCGUGCUAAUCUGCGAUAAGCGCCGGUAAGGUGAUAUGAACCGUUAUAACCGGCGAUACCCGAAUGGGGAAACCCAGUGUGACUCGUCACACUAUCAUUAACUGAAUCCAUAGGUUAAUGAGGCGAACCGGGGGAACUGAAACAUCUAAGUACCCCGAGGAAAAGAAAUCAACCGAGAUUCCCCCAGUAGCGGCGAGCGAACGGGGAGGAGCCCAGAGCCUGAAUCAGCAUGUGUGUUAGUGGAAGCGUCUGGAAAGGCGCGCGAUACAGGGUGACAGCCCCGUACACAAAAGCGCAUGUGCUGUGAGCUCGAUGAGUAGGGCGGGACACGUGGUAUCCUGUCUGAAUAUGGGGGGACCAUCCUCCAAGGCUAAAUACUCCUGACUGACCGAUAGUGAACCAGUACCGUGAGGGAAAGGCGAAAAGAACCCCGGCGAGGGGAGUGAAAAAGAACCUGAAACCGUGUACGUACAAGCAGUGGGAGCACAGGUUUACCUGUGUGACUGCGUACCUUUUGUAUAAUGGGUCAGCGACUUAUAUUCUGUAGCAAGGUUAACCGAAUAGGGGAGCCGGAGGGAAACCGAGUCUUAAUUGGGCGUUAAGUUGCAGGGUAUAGACCCGAAACCCGGUGAUCUAGCCAUGGGCAGGUUGAAGGUUGGGUAACACUAACUGGAGGACCGAACCGACUAAUGUUGAAAAAUUAGCGGAUGACCUGUGGCUGGGGUGAAAGGCCAAUCAAACCGGGAGAUAGCUGGUUCUCCCCGAAAGCUAUUUAGGUAGCGCCUCGUGAAUUCAUCUCCGGGGUAGAGCACUGUUUCGGCUAGGGGCCAUCCCGGCUUACCAACCCGAUGCAAACUGCGAAUACCGGAGAAUGUUAUCACGGGAGACACACGGCGGGUGCUAACGUCCGUCGUGAAGAGGGAAACAACCCAGACCGCCAGCUAAGGUCCCAAAGUCAUGGUUAAGUGGGAAACGAUGUGGGAAGGCCCAGACAGCCAGGAUGUUGGCUUAGAAGCAGCCAUCAUUUAAAGAAAGCGUAAUAGCUCACUGGUCGAGUCGGCCUGCGCGGAAGAUGUAACGGGGCUAAACCAUGCACCGAAGCUGCGGCAGCGACACUGUGUGUUGUUGGGUAGGGGAGCGUUCUGUAAGCCUGCGAAGGUGGCCUGUGAGGGUUGCUGGAGGUAUCAGAAGUGCGAAUGCUGACAUAAGUAACGAUAAAGCGGGUGAAAAGCCCGCUCGCCGGAAGACCAAGGGUUCCUGUCCAACGUUAAUCGGGGCAGGGUGAGUCGACCCCUAAGGCGAGGCCGAAAGGCGUAGUCGAUGGGAAACGGGUUAAUAUUCCCGUACUUGGUGUUACUGCGAAGGGGGGACGGAGAAGGCUAUGUUGGCCGGGCGACGGUUGUCCCGGUUUAAGCGUGUAGGUGUGUGUUCCAGGUAAAUCCGGUUCACUUUAACACUGAGGCGUGACGACGAGGCACUACGGUGCUGAAGCAACAAAUGCCCUGCUUCCAGGAAAAGCCUCUAAGCAUCAGGUAACAUCAAAUCGUACCCCAAACCGACACAGGUGGUCAGGUAGAGAAUACCAAGGCGCUUGAGAGAACUCGGGUGAAGGAACUAGGCAAAAUGGUGCCGUAACUUCGGGAGAAGGCACGCUGACACGUAGGUGAAGUGAUUUACUCAUGGAGCUGAAGUCAGUCGAAGAUACCAGCUGGCUGCAACUGUUUAUUAAAAACACAGCACUGUGCAAACACGAAAGUGGACGUAUACGGUGUGACGCCUGCCCGGUGCCGGAAGGUUAAUUGAUGGGGUCAGCGCAAGCGAAGCUCCUGAUCGAAGCCCCGGUAAACGGCGGCCGUAACUAUAACGGUCCUAAGGUAGCGAAAUUCCUUGUCGGGUAAGUUCCGACCUGCACGAAUGGCGUAAUGAUGGCGGGCUGUCUCCACCCGAGACUCAGUGAAAUUGAACUCGCUGUGAAGAUGCAGUGUACCCGCGGCAAGACGGAAAGACCCCGUGAACCUUUACUAUAGCUUGACACUGAACAUUGAGCCUUGAUGUGUAGGAUAGGUGGGAGGCUUUGAAGUGUGGACGCCAGUCUGCAUGGAGCCGACCUUGAAAUACCACCCUUUAAUGUUUGAUGUUCUAACGUGGACCCGUUACCCGGGUUGCGGACAGUGUCUGGUGGGUAGUUUGACUGGGGCGGUCUCCUCCUAAAGAGUAACGGAGGAGCACGAAGGUUGGCUAAUCCUGGUCGGACAUCAGGAGGUUAGUGCAAUGGCAUAAGCCAGCUUGACUGCGAGCGUGACGGCGCGAGCAGGUGCGAAAGCAGGUCAUAGUGAUCCGGUGGUUCUGAAUGGAAGGGCCAUCGCUCAACGGAUAAAAGGUACUCCGGGGAUAACAGGCUGAUACCGCCCAAGAGUUCAUAUCGACGGCGGUGUUUGGCACCUCGAUGUCGGCUCAUCACAUCCUGGGGCUGAAGUAGGUCCCAAGGGUAUGGCUGUUCGCCAUUUAAAGUGGUACGCGAGCUGGGUUUAGAACGUCGUGAGACAGUUCGGUCCCUAUCUGCCGUGGGCGCUGGAGAACUGAGGGGGGCUGCUCCUAGUACGAGAGGACCGGAGUGGACGCAUCACUGGUGUUCGGGUUGUCAUGCCAAUGGCACUGCCCGGUAGCUAAAUGCGGAAGAGAUAAGUGCUGAAAGCAUCUAAGCACGAAACUUGCCCCGAGAUGAGUUCUCCCUGAGACUUAAAGUCUCCUGAAGGAACGUUGAAGACGACGACGUUGAUAGGCCGGGUGUGUAAGCGCAGCGAUGCGUUGAGCUAACCGGUACUAAUGAACCGUGAGGCUUAACCUUACAACGCCGAAG
rnacentral:rRNA from 1 species